UCCUCUUGUUGAUAUGUGUCCCACAACAUGCGCGCAACCCUGUUACCAUAAGGAAUUUUACCUGGCAGAGAAAGAGUUAAAAAUAUUUGUCUACUACCACAAAGGAAGUUACAUCACAAGGACAUUUUCUGCCCACAUGGCAAGACCAAGACCGCUCAGAUAUCAUGCCCAAAUGGGGCCUGUGUGGGUAACCCAAUAGGAAAACAGAAAGUUUGGUCCAUGGGUUCCAUGUUGGCCCCACAUAUGGGUAUAACGGUUGACCCUAUCGAGGUCAGUGAUAGGACUAGACGUGGGGUAUGCACACCAUCCACUGCAGAGUUUCUGUUCAAGAGUGGGGUAUCUCCAGUGUUCCACCAGUGAGACACAGGCAAGACAAGAGAGUUGGUCAAAUCCUGUACAGUAUCUGGAGGAGUCGGCAAUAGCUGUUUGACUGGGACCUUUCUAGACUAUUUGUUGUACAACACAAUAUCUUUUAUUAAAUGUAGCCCAGUCUUUUUUGAGAGAAAGGUUGUGUAGCUGUUAGAAGUUGUUAGUACGUUAGAAGUUGGAAUGCAAAAAACUGAAAAGCCUCAAACAGAGGUACAAGAUGAGAUUCAGAGAACUGCUCUGGAAUAAAAACUUUACUUUUAAUUAUAAGUAUCUUAUUUAUAGUUUACUUAAAGAAAUAUGGCUACAGUAGUAAUUUCUGCAGUGCACCUGAGUUUCCAGUGGUCCUCCAGUGGGAUCAAUGUCUCCUUAACAGCCAACAGUCAACACAUAAUGUGUUGAUGACAUAGGUUAUAAGAUGAAAUAUGGUUGACUCUCUAAUUACAACUGUAAUCAUUUAUUAAUGUUAUUUUUAUUUAUUUCAUGAUCUAUAAGUACUCAAAUAGCUAGUCUGUGAUACAGUCCUUUGCUAAUAACUCUUGCACUUCAGUCUUUAGUGACUUCAGUAUAGAAAAAGAUGCAUUUUUAAAUAUUUUGAGUAGUGUCUGUAAAGAAUUUGCCUCAUUUUGCCUUGGUUUAAUCAAGAAUAAAACAAGAAAAUAUUGUGGGGGGUCUUAACAUUCGCCACAAUCAACUAGUUCUAGUAAUGGCCUUGCCUUUCCUGAUAACGGACUUGGACUUGUUCUUGCUCUUACUGAGAAAAUAAAACCUUCUCGAAAUAAAACUGCUGAAGCUGUUGGCAUGCUCUCAGAACCGUUACAUUAUUUAAUGUGUUUGGCAGUACUUGGAUGGUCAAAAUCAUAAAACGCUCCAACUUCUAAGCCUGAACUUUGAUGGUUUGGAAAAAUGUCAGUGCAGAUUUUUGAAGUGAAAACUCACCUGUAUUUACGUAUUUAGCAUAUAUUGUCAGCAUACAUUUUUGAGACUUUUGAAAAAAUGUGAAUGUAAAAAUAUAUUGAAUGCCAAAUGCAAGUCAUAAUUAUUAAAAAAAAAAAAGG